GUAGGUGAACCUGCGGAAGGAUCAUUAAAGAGAAGGAGAGUUCGCUCUCCGGGGUUUCGGCCCUACUCUUCACCCGAUGUUUACAUAUCUCUGUUGCUUUGGCGAGCCUCGUUUGUCAAGAACGUGUCGAAUUCGGUCGGCAAGUGCUGGCCAAAGGAUUUUAAAUUCUUUCUUAUUGCUGUCUGAAAACACACCAAUCAAUUAAAACUUUCAACAACGGAUCUCUUGGUUCUGGCAUCGAUGAAGAACG
rnacentral:misc_RNA from 1 species